CGCACGGGUGAGUAACACGUAUCCAACCUGCCGUCUACUCUUGGCCAGCCUUCUGAAAGGAAGAUUAAUCCAGGAUGGGAUCAUGAGUUCACAUGUCCGCAUGAUUAGAGGUAUUUUCCGGUAGACGAUGGGGAUGCGUUCCAUUAGAUAGUAGGCGGGGUAACGGCCCACCUAGUCAACGAUGGAUAGGGGUUCUGAGAGGAAGGUCCCCCACAUUGGAACUGAGACACGGUCCAA
rnacentral:rRNA from 1 species